GGGGAUUUAGCUCAGUGGCAUAAGCACCUGCCUUGCAAGCACAUGGUUGUGAGUUUGAUUCCCAGUACCCA
rnacentral:tRNA from 1 species